GACGAACGCUGGCGGCGCGCCUAACACAUGCAAGUCGAACGAGCGAGAGAGAGCUUGCUUUCUUGAGCGAGUGGCGAACGGGUGAGUAACGCGUGAGGAACCUGCCUCAAAGAGGGGGACAACAGUUGGAAACGACUGCUAAUACCGCAUAAACCCACGGUGCCGCAUGGCACAGAGGGAAAAGGAGCAAUCCGCUUUGAGAUGGCCUCGCGUCCGUUUAGCUAGUUGGUGAGGUAACGGCCCACCAAGGCGACGAUCGGUAGCCGGACUGAGAGGUUGAACGGCCACAUUGGGACUGAGACACGGCCCAGACUCCUACGGGAGGCAGCAGUGGGGAAUAUUGCACAAUGGGGGAAACCCUGAUGCAGCGACGCCGCGUGGAGGAAGAAGGUCUUCGGAUUGUAAACUCCUGUUGUUGGGGAAGAUAAUGACGGUACCCAACAAGGAAGUGACGGCUAACUACGUG
rnacentral:rRNA from 1 species